UGACAAAGGAGCUCUUACAUUAUGAUAGCGGAUUCCCACUCUGGAAAAGCCGGGUGCAACAUGACUUAGUGAUUAUUGAAACGCAAAAGGCUGCUAUUUAAUCAAAUAAAAUCAGAGAUUGUGACAGAUGACCUAGGAUAGAGUGUUCAAUAAUGAACAGCAGAGGAGAAGUCUCCCAGCCAUAAAAAGAGUAAUGAAGUAGAAAAGAUGACUCACAAUACCAGGAUGACUGGUCUGACAUCAAAUAAUCCCCAGAUGUGCAGUUACUAUUCAGAAUUUUCAGACCACUAGAAGGCACCAUUGACGUGUAUUGACGGGAGUUAAGUAAUAAUCUUAUUUGAUGUUAAUUUAUGCAUAUACUUACUCACAAUUUAGUGUUAUGAAAUGUAUGUUAACAUCACUAAGUGAGCUAACAAGAAACAAUGCCUCUUUACAGUGUUUUUUUUUUUUCUUAUUUAAUGUUAAUUUAUACAAAGGCCUCCAUCCAUCCAUCCAUCGUCAACCGCUUAUCCUGUGUACAGGGUCGCGGGGGGCUGGAGCCUAUCCCAGCUAACAUUGGGCGAAAGGCGGGGGACACCCUGGACCAUGGUCGCCAGUCCAUCGCAGAUAUUUGGUUGGAAUCAACACACCCACUGGCACCAAGACAAUCACAAAAGGCAAAAGAAUCGCAAAGGUCUCAGAAAAGAGGAAUGACACAGUCAUCCCUCUUAUAUGUACUCUCAGAAGGUUAAUGACUGAAUAAUUUAGGAAGUACAGCAGUUUCAAAUGUGUUUAACCAGGACACUUCUUUCAAAAUAUACCUUUUCCUGGCUAGACAUAUGCAAAUCUCUGUCCCCAAAAUAUUUGAGUCAAUUAUGAGUUGUUUGUUGACACAUCCACAUAUGCAGUAUGUAAUACCUAACCAUGUGAUUUGAAUAUGAUGUAGUAUUAAGUUUAAAUUAUGUCACUGUGCUUUGCAUUUGCUUUUAUGACCAAAUAUGCUGUCAGUUUCAGUAAAUGUUUUAUUUGCCACAGCUUUGACUUUGGAUGUAUUUAUUUGUUUAAGAAAUUUAA